rnacentral:lncRNA from 10 species
UUAGGAAUAUCUUUGAUUCCAUACCUUCUUUGCCAAAUUGAUUUCUUACAAAGCCAUUCCUUCUUUAUUUUACUACUCUGUUUAGAGGAAAUCAAGAAACAGGAGAGAAUAAUGAAACAAAGCACAGAAGAAAACGUCAGUGAUUUGUAUUCACUGAAUUCAAUAUUGUGUGUUACUUCUAUUGCAAAAGAGAAUGUGAAUGGAAGAAAAAAGAGGAGAGAGGGAACUAUUAAUAGAGUAGAUUACAUUGAAUUAAUCUUAUUUGUUUCUCUCAGGGAAGAAAUAAGCAUAGUGAAAAAUCACACAAUGGAAACCAUCCCUUCCCCUGACCUGUUCCCAGUGUUAAGAUAACAGAGGGAAGGAAGAUCAAUGCUCUGCCAGAGGUCCACAAACUAAGCUGACCACUUUCUUUUGAAUGACGAAAGUAGGCGGUACGAACCCUAAUGGAGGCAGUUUUGAGGAGGUCCUCAGCUCCACGGCCCAUGCCAGUGCCCAGAGCUUGGCAGGAGGCUCCCGGCGGACCAAGGAGGAGGAGCUGCAGUGCUAAGUCCAGCCAGCGUGCAGCUGCAUCCAGAAACCGGCCACUACCCAGCCCAUCUCUGCCUGUGCUUAUCCAGAUAAGAAGACCAAAAUCCCGCUGGG